rnacentral:rRNA from 1 species
GACAGAGGAUGCAAGCGUUAUCCGGAAUGAUUGGGCGUAAAGCGUCUGUAGGUGGCUUUUUAAGUCCGCCGUCAAAUCCCAGGGCUCAACCCUGGACAGGCGGUGGAAACUACCAAGCUGGAGUACGGUAGGGGCAGAGGGAAUUUCCGGUGUAGCGGUGAAAUGCUUAGAUAUCGUCAAGAACACCGAUAGUGAAGACAGCUAACUAAGCUCUAACUGACGCUGAGGCACGAAAGUGUGGGGAUCAAACAGG